UGGGGAAUGAUUGCACAAUGGGCGAAAGCCUGAUGCAGCAACGCCGCGUGAGUGAUGAAGGCCUUCGGGUUGUAAAGCUCUGUCUUUUGGGACGAUAAUGACGGUACCAAAGGAGGAAGCCACGGCUAACUACGUGCCAGCAGCCGCGGUAAUACGUAGGUGGCAAGCGUUGUCCGGAUUUACUGGGCGUAAAGGAUGCGUAGGCGGAUUUUUAAGUGAGAUGUGAAAUACCCGGGCUUAACUUGGGUGCUGCAUUUCAAACUGGGAAUCUAGAGUGCGGGAGAGGAGAAUGGAAUUCCUAGUGUAGCGGUGAAAUGCGUAGAGAUUAGGAAGAACACCAGUGGCGAAGGCGAUUCUCUGGACCGUAACUGAGCUGAGGCAUGAAAGCGUGGGUAGCAAACAGGAUUAGAUACCCUGGUAGUCCACGCCGUAAACGAUGAGUACUAGGUGUAGGGAG
rnacentral:rRNA from 1 species